GACGAACGCUGGCGGCGCGCCUAACACAUGCAAGUCGAGCGAGAACCAGGGCUUCGGCCCUGGGGACAGCGGCGAACGGGUGAGUAACACGUGGAUAACCUGCCCUCGGCACCGGAAUAGCCCGGGGAAACCCGGAUUAAUGCCGGAUGGCCCCACAUCCCUGCGGGGAACGUGGGAAAAGGUAGCUUCGGCCUCUGGCCGAGGAUGGGUCCGCGGUGGAUUAGCUUGUUGGCGCGGGUAAUGGCCCACCAAGGCGACGAUCCAUAGCUGGUCUGAGAGGACGAUCAGCCACACUGGGACUGAGACACGGCCCAGACUCCUACGGGAGGCAGCAGUAGGGAAUCUUGCGCAAUGGGCGAAAGCCUGACGCAGCGACGCCGCGUGCGGGAAGAAGGCCUUCGGGUUGUAAACCUCUUUCAGCAGGGAAGAAGCGAAAGUGACGGUACCUGCAGAAGAAGCACCGGCUAACUACGUGCCAGCAGCCGCAGUAAUAC
rnacentral:rRNA from 1 species